rnacentral:rRNA from 1 species
UCGAGAAUUUUUCUCAAUGGGCGAAAGCCUGAAGGAGCGACGCCGCGUGGAGGAUGAAGGCUUUCGGGUUGUAAACUCCUGUCAUUUGAGAACAAGUGCCAACAAGUAACUACUGUUGGCUUGAUAGUAUCAGAAGAGGAAGGGACGGCUAACUCUGUGCCAGCAGCCGCGGUAAUACAGAGGUCCCAAGCGUUGUUCGGAUUCAUUGGGCGUAAAGGGUGCGUAGGUGGCGGCGUAAGUCGGGUGUGAAAUUUCGGAGCUUAACUCCGAAACUGCAUUCGAUACUGCGGUGCUUGAGGACUGGAGAGGAGACUGGAAUUUAUGGUGUAGCAGUGAAAUGCGUAGAGAUCAUAAGGAAGACCAGUGGCGAAGGCGGGUCUCUGGACAGUUCCUGACACUGAGGCACGAAGGCCAGGGGAGCAAACGG